UACGUAGGUGGCAAGCGUUGUCCGGAUUUACUGGGCGUAAAGAGCGCGCAGGCGGUCGUUCAAGUCGCGUGUGAAAGCCCCCGGCUCAACUGGGGAGGGUCACGCGAUACUGAUCGACUCGAAGGCAGGAGAGGGUAGUGGAAUUCCCGGUGUAGUGGUGAAAUGCGUAGAUAUCUGGAGGAACACCGGUGGCGAAGGCGGCGUUCUGGACUGUUACUGACACUGAGGAACGAAAGCCAGGGGAGCAAACGGG
rnacentral:rRNA from 1 species